CCUCCCAUUGGAGAACAGAAAAUUUAAUGAGCUUUUAAUGGAAUGCAAUGCUCAGAGUAGUAAAUUAUUUGUUAGUUGACGAUGCAAUCAGCAUGCUGAUUAAGGUUGCUUGGUUUUUUGCUAAACAUUAACUGAAUGAAAACGGGUAGUCCUUGUUCUGCUUGGGGGGCUUUAAGGAAGCAAAUGGACUUUCAGAACAGAGAUUGUCAAUAAAGAUAAAGACCAACAUAUUAUAUCAACACUUUCUCUAAAACAAUGAAAAGUGGCAAGAACAAAUUUUACAGAAUUCUGUUUCAAAAAGUUCAUAAUCUUCACAUCUUCUGGGAUGCAGUACAUGGAGUGCAAAGAGCUCAAACAUUGGAAUAUGAGAGAACUGAAGUCAAACUCUGGAAUACACAUCUGGAGCUCUGAAUGUGUGCUGAGAACGUGUGCAUGACACAGAACACAUUGGAUCCCACUGGGGGAAGGUUCCAUGACAGCUGAGUUUCUUGAUGCAAAGCUGCUAAUAAUCUAUCCCCUCAAAUCAAUGAGGCUGGUACUACCCUGAAGCACUGAGAGAUGUCAUGCCAAUUUACACAAAUCUUUAUUGUUGAAACUCUUCCAUAAUGACAUCUUUAUUCAUGGGAAAAUACAAAAUAUAAAUUUCAACUAUAUGAUAUUGUUUAUGUUCAUCAGAAAUGCUAUUUGUCUUUACAAAGUCUGGUUUCAAUAAACUGUAUGUAAUGGAUAUUAAAUAAACAUGAAAUUUUACACAUUCAUAAUAUUUUGUUUCUUGUUAUGAUUUUGAUGAACUACACUUUCAAACACUGUCACUUCAUCCUUAUUUACAAACAAAAUGUUUGCUUAUAGCUGAGUGAUGUAGUGACUUGCUUUAUUUUAAGAUAAGUCAACUUUUCUAUUCAAUGUUUAAUGUGAAACUGACUCAAAAAAUGUUCUUAUAGACAACAUUUACAUUUCUUUCUGUACAACAUAUAUUAUACUAUUUUAACUUAAUUCUGUGAGCUACAUAAACCAAAAACAUUCUAAUUCUGUUUUUAAUGUAUUUUUUAAGAUAAAUAAUUUAUAAUGCACUAAUAAAACUAAGGAGCUAUUAUUAAAACAUAUUAUAUGACCUAGUAAAAUUGAUAUAUGGAAAUUGACUCUCUUAAAAGUAAUUUUAUGAAAUUAUUUUGUAUAAAAUGGACUUUCUUAUAUGAAUUUUUGACAAGUAUAAAACAAAAAGAACCUGAAAUCUCUCUCUCCAUCCUUCUGCACAUUGAAGAGAAGUAAUAGAAUGCUUUCUAACUCUAUGAUAUUGGGGUUUCCUAGUAAAAGAAACCAGAUGAAUAGUAGCCAUUUUAGUUGUGCAUAUCAGCAUCUAGC